rnacentral:hammerhead_ribozyme from 1 species
AUCCAGCUGACGAGUCCCAAACAGGACGACACGCG